CCUACGGGAGGCAGCAGUGGGGAAUCUUGCGCAAUGGGCGAAAGCCUGACGCAGCAACGCCGCGUGCGGGAAGAAGGCUUUCGGGCUGUAAACCGCUUUCAGCAGGAACGAAAAUGACGGUACCUGCAGAAGAAGGAGCGGCCAACUAUGUGCCAGCAGCCGCGGUGAUACAUAGGCUUCAAGCGUUGUCCGGAUUUAUUGGGCGUAAAGAGUUCGUAGGCGGUCGAGUAAGUCGGGUGUGAAAAUUCUGGGCUCAACCCAGAGACGCCACCCGGAUACUGCUUGACUUGAGUUCGAUAGGGGAGUGGGGAAUUCCUAGUGUAGCGGUGAAAUGCGCAGAUAUUAGGAGGAACACCGGUGGCGAAGGCGCCACUCUGGAUCGAUACUGACGCUGAGGAACGAAAGCAUGGGUAGCAAACAGGAUUAGAUACCCUGGUAGUCCAUGCCGUAAACGGUGGGCACUAGGUGUGGGAUUCUAUUAACGAAUUCCGNGCCGUCGCUAACGCAUUAAGUGCCCCGCCUGGGGAUCGGCGCAAGCUUAAACCNAAGAUG
rnacentral:rRNA from 1 species